AAUGAACGUUGGCGGCGUGGAUUAGGCAUGCAAGUCGAGCGAGAAGUUUACUUCGGUAAAUGGACAGCGGCGAAAGGGACAGUAAUGUGUAGGUACCUACCCCCCGAUCUGGGAUAGCUGCGGGAAACUGCAGGUAAUACCGGAUAAUGUCUUCGGACCAAAGGUGUGAUUCCGUCAGGGGAGGGGCCUGCAUCCUAUUAGCUUGUUGGUGAGGUAAUGGCUCACCAAGGCAACGAUGGGUAGCGGGUGUGAGAGCAUGACCCGCGUCAUUGGGACUGAGACACUGCCCAGACAUCUACGGAUGGCUGCAGUCGAGAAUCUUCGGCAAUGGGCGAAAGCCUGACCGAGCGACGCCGCGUGCGGGAUGAAGGCCCUCGGGUUGUAAACCGCUGUCGUUGGGGAGGAAAUGCAAAAGGGUUAUCCCUUCUGUUUGACCGAUCCAAGGAGGAAGUACGGGCUAAGUUCGUGCCAGCAGCCGCGGUAAGACGAACCGUACGAACGUUAUUCGGAAUUACUGGGCUUAAAGGGUGCGUAGGCUGCACGGAAAGUUGGGUGUGAAAGCCCUCAGCUCAACUGAGGAAUUGCAUCCAAAACUGCCGUGCUUGAGGGAGACAGAGGUGAGCGGAACUCAAGGUGGAGCGGUGAAAUGCGUUGAUAUCUUGAGGAACACCGGUGGCGAAAGCGGCUCACUGGGUCUCUUCUGACGCUGAGGCACGAAAGCUAAGGUAGCAAACGGGAUUAGAUACCCCGGUAGUCUUAGCUGUAAACGAUGAGCACUUGAUUGGAGGGUCCUCCAUAGCCUUCCAGUCGUAGCGAAAGUGUUAAGUGCUCCGCCUGGGGGAGUAUGGUCGCAAGGCUGAAACUCAAAGAAAUUGACGGGGGCUCACACAAGCGGGUGGAGGAUGUGGCUUAAUUCGAGGCUACGCGAAGAACCUUAUCCUAGUCUUGACAUGUAUGGAUUAACCCUGUGAAAGCAGGGC
rnacentral:rRNA from 1 species